GAUCAAGUGAAAGAAGGGCAUUUGGUGGAUGCCUUGGCAUGCACAGGCGAUGAAGGACGUGAUACGCUGCGAAAAGCCGUGGGGAGCUGCGAAUGAGCUUUGAUCCAUGGAUCUCCGAAUGGGGCAACCCACCUUAGAUGCUUGGAAAAUCAUUUUGGUUGGCAUCUGGUCCCGAAGCCGUAAGGCUUCGCAAGGCCAGAGGCCGUCGCCGGUUAUCCGGCGUCAAGAAACCAAAGUGGUUUCCAAGCAUUGUUGAAAGGUAUCUUAUUCUGAAUACAUAGGGAUAAGAAGCGAACGCAGGGAACUGAAACAUCUAAGUACCUGCAGGAAAGGACAUCAACCGAGACUCCGCAAGUAGUGGCGAGCGAACGCGGACCAGGCCAGUGGCAAUGAGGAAUAAAGUGGAACGAUCUGGAAAGUUCGGCCGUAGCGGGUGAUAGCCCCGUACACGUAGAACACUCAUUGUCCUUGAGUAAGGCGGGACACGUGAAAUCCUGUCUGAACAUGGGGAGACCACUCUCCAAGCCUAAGUACUCGUGCAUGACCGAUAGCGAACAAGUACCGUGAGGGAAAGGUGAAAAGCACCCCGACAAGGGGAGUGAAAUAGAACCUGAAACCGGAUGCCUACAAACAGUCGGAGCCCGCAAGGGUGACGGCGUACCUUUUGUAUAAUGGGUCAACGACUUAGUGUGGCAUGCAAGCUUAAGCCGGUAGGUGGAGGCGUAGCGAAAGCGAGUCUGAACAGGGCGCUUUAGUAUGUCGCAUUAGACCCGAAACCGAGUGAUCUAGCCAUGAGCAGGUUGAAGGUUGGGUAACACCAACUGGAGGACCGAACCCGCAUCUGUUGCAAUAGAUUGGGAUGACUUGUGGCUAGGGGUGAAAGGCCAAUCAAACUCGGAAAUAGCUGGUUCUCCGCGAAAACUAUUUAGGUAGUGCGUCGACCGAAUACCCUCGGGGGUAGAGCACUGGAUGGGCUAUGGGGACUCACCGUCUUACUGAUCCUAACCAAACUCCGAAUACCGAGGAGUACUAGUCGGCAGACACACGGCGGGUGCUAACGUCCGUCGUGAAAAGGGCAACAACCCUGACCUCCAGCUAAGGUCCCCAAGUCAUGGCUAAGUGGGAAAGGAUGUGAGGAUCCCAAAACAACCAGGAUGUUGGCUUAGAAGCAGCCAUCAUUUAAAGAAAGCGUAACAGCUCACUGGUCUAAAUAAGGGUCUUUGCGCCGAAAAUGUAACGGGGCUGAAGCCAUGCACCGAAGCUGAGGAUACGUCGUAAGACGUGUGGUAGCGGAGCGUUCCGUAAGCCAGUGAAGGGAUACCCGUGAGGGGUCCUGGAGGUAUCGGAAGUGCGAAUGUUGACAUGAGUAACGAUAAAGAGGGUGAGAGACCCUCUCGCCGAAAGACCAAGGGUUCCUGCUUAAAGUUAAUCUGAGCAGGGUUAGCCGGCCCCUAAGACGAGGCGGACACGCGUAGUCGAUGGGAACCACGUUAAUAUUCGUGGGCCUGGUGGUAGUGACGGAUUGCUCAACUUGUCCGGACUUAUUGGAUUGUCCGGGCGGGGACGCGGUUCCAGGAAAUAGCUCCACCGUAUAGACCGUACCCGAAACCGACACAGGUGGUCAGGUAGAGUAUACCAAGGCGCUUGAGAGAACUAUGUUGAAGGAACUCGGCAAAUUGCACGCGUAACUUCGGAAGAAGCGUGACCCUUUUCUACGCAAGUAGGAUGGGGUGGCACAGACCAGGGGGUAGCGACUGUUUAUCAAAAACACAGGGCUCUGCGAAGUCGCAAGACGACGUAUAGGGUCUGACGCCUGCCCGGUGCUGGAAGGUUAAGAGGAGGGGUGCAAGCUCUGAAUCGAAGCCCCAGUAAACGGCGGCCGUAACUAUAACGGUCCUAAGGUAGCGAAAUUCCUUGUCGGGUAAGUUCCGACCUGCACGAAUGGCGUAACGACUUCCCCGCUGUCUCCAACAUAGACUCAGUGAAAUUGAAUUCCCCGUGAAGAUGCGGGGUUCCUGCGGUCAGACGGAAAGACCCCGUGCACCUUUACUAUAGCUUUACACUGGCAUUCGUGUCGGCAUGUGUAGGAUAGGUGGUAGGCUUUGAAGCGGGGACGCCAGUUCUCGUGGAGCCAUCCUUGAAAUACCACCCUUAUCGUCAUGGAUGUCUAACCGCGGUCCGUCAUCCGGAUCCGGGACAGUGUAUGGUGGGUAGUUUGACUGGGGCGGUCGCCUCCGAAAGAGUAACGGAGGCG
rnacentral:rRNA from 1 species